AGAGUUUGAUCCUGGCUCAGAUUGAACGCUGGCGGCAUGCCUUACACAUGCAAGUCGAACGGCAGCAUGAUCUAGCUUGCUAGAUUGAUGGCGAGUGGCGAACGGGUGAGUAAUACAUCGGAACGUGCCCUGUAGUGGGGGAUAACUAGUCGAAAGAUUAGCUAAUACCGCAUACGACCUGAGGGUGAAAGUGGGGGACCGCAAGGCCUCAUGCUAUAGGAGCGGCCGAUGUCUGAUUAGCUAGUUGGUGAGGUAAAGGCUCACCAAGGCGACGAUCAGUAGCUGGUCUGAGAGGACGAUCAGCCACACUGGGACUGAGACACGGCCCAGACUCCUACGGGAGGCAGCAGUGGGGAAUUUUGGACAAUGGGCGAAAGCCUGAUCCAGCAAUGCCGCGUGUGUGAAGAAGGCCUUCGGGUUGUAAAGCACUUUUGUCCGGAAAGAAAUGGCUCUGGUUAAUACCUGGGGUCGAUGACGGUACCGGAAGAAUAAGGACCGGCUAACUACGUGCCAGCAGCCGCGGUAAUACGUAGGGUCCAAGCGUUAAUCGGAAUUACUGGGCGUAAAGCGUGCGCAGG
rnacentral:rRNA from 1 species